rnacentral:lncRNA from 1 species
UGGUAUUGGUGUUGGUGGUGAUAGUGGUGGUAUUGGUGGCAUUGGUGGUCUUAGGGGUGGUGUUAGUGGUGGUGUUGGUAUUGGUGUUGGUGGAAUUGGUAUUAGUAUUAGUAGUAUUGGUGGUGGUGGUGGUGGUAUUGGUGGCGCUGUUGGUGGUGUUGGUGGUGGUAUUGGUAUUGGUGGUGGUGGCAUUAGUAUUGGUGGUGGUGG